GAUGAAGAACGUAGCGAAAUGCGAUACUUGGUGUGAAUUGCAGAAUCCCGUGAACCAUCGAGUCUUUGAACGCAAGUUGCGCCCGAAGCCAUUAGGCCGAGGGCACGCCUGCCUGGGUGUCACACGUCGUUGCCCCCCCAUCUACUCCUUCGGGAUUGCGGGGGGCGGAUGAUGGCCUCCCGUGCGCCUCGUCGCGCGGUUGGCAUAAAUGCCAAGUCCUCGGCGACGCACGCCACGACAAUCGGUGGUUGCGAAACCUCGGUUGCCCGUCGUGUGCGGUCGUCGCGCAUCGAGGGCUCGAAAAAAUUGCCGGGCUCCGGCUCGGCUUUCAACGCGACCCCAGGUCAGGCGGGGUUACCCGCUGAAUUUAAGCAUAUCAAUAAGCGGAGG
rnacentral:misc_RNA from 1 species